rnacentral:rRNA from 1 species
GAUGAACGCUGGCGGCGUGCCUAACACAUGCAAGUCGAACGAAGCUGUUUAACGGAAGCCUUCGGGUGGAAGUUAAAUAGACUGAGUGGCGGACGGGUGAGUAACGCGUGGGUAACCUGCCCUACACAGGGGGACAACAGCUGGAAACGGCUGCUAAUACCGCAUAAGCGCACAGUACCGCAUGGUACAGUGUGAAAAACUCCGGUGGUGUAGGAUGGACCCGCGUCCGAUUAGCUAGUUGGUAGGGUAAUGGCCUACCAAGGCGACGAUCAGUAGCCGACCUGAGAGGGUGACCGGCCACAUUGGGACUGAGACACGGCCCAAACUCCUACGGGAGGCAGCAGUGGGGAAUAUUGCACAAUGGGGGAAACCCUGAUGCAGCGACGCCGCGUGAAGGAAGAAGUAUUUCGGUAUGUAAACUUCUAUCAGCAGGGAAGAAAAUGACGGUACCUGACUAAGAAGCCCCGGCUAAUUACGUGCCAGCCGCCGCGGUAACAC